rnacentral:pre_miRNA from 1 species
UUACUACUCCCUCCGUCUCAUAUUAGUUGUCGCUGAAAUGGAUGUAUCUAGACGUAUUUCAGUGCUAGAUCUAUCCGUUUGAACAACAACUAAUAUGGGACAGAGGGAGUAUAUA